AGCCUCAGAAAAGUCUUGCGCCACUGUCCAUCCACCACGAAGCCAAUAUAAGGGUCACUGGUUUUUCCCCUUGUUCAAAGAAUCAAGAUAUCGCACAGGCAGAGCAUCACCCCCAACAUGGGUUCAGUUCUGAGUAGCUUAGAUGCUCACACAACUGUAGUAGGACUGCUUUCUCUCCUGCUACUAGGGUUCUUUCUCACAAGGAGUUCCAAAGCUCAUGAGAGGAGAGAGGCUCCUAUAGCAGGGGGUAGCUGGCCCGUUAUUGGCCACCUUCCACUCUUGAGCGGUUCAAACAUACCCCAUUACUCUUUGGGAGCUCUGGCCGACAAGUACGGGCCCAUCUUCACUGUCAAGCUUGGGUCUCGACGUGCUCUGGUGGUCAGCAACUGGAAAAUGGCUCAAGAAUGCUACACCACCAACGACUUGGCCGUCUCCUCGCGCCCUAAACUUGUGGCCGUUGAUAACCUCAGCUACAACCAAGCCAUGUUUCUUUUCGCACCCUAUGGUCCUUAUUGGCGUGAGAUUCGCAAGUUCGCCACUCUUGAGUUGCUCUCCAGUUGCCGAAUCCAGCAAUUAAGUCAUGUGCGCGUGUCCGAGGUUGAUUGUUGCGUGAAAGGGCUGUUUCAACUCUGGGCUGAGAGAAAGAACGAGGCAGGCCAGCUUUUAGUGGAUUUGAGUCAGUGUUUUGGGGAAUUGACGAUGAACGAGGUUCUCAGAACAAUGGCCGGGAAACGGUACUUUGGCGGGAGAGCUGAGGUGAACGAGGAAGAGGCACGGCGGUUUCUCAAGACUCUGAGGGAGUUCGUUCGUUUGAUGGGAGUGUUCGUGUUAGGGGACGCCCUCCCUUAUCUUCGAUGGUUGGAUUUGGAUGGACAUGAAAAGGCCAUGAAGAUAACUGCAAAGGAACUCGACACCAUUUUAGAAGAGUGGCUGGAAGAGCACCGAUGCAAGAGAGCCUCAGGAGACCAUAAAGGAGACGGAGACUUUAUGGACGUCAUGCUCUCUGUUCUCGGCGGCUCUGAGCUGGGAGGGUAUGAUGCUGAUACCAUCAAUAAAGCUACCACAUUGAUAUUAAUUGCCGGAGGGGUUGAUACUAGCACAGUGACCCUGACAUGGGCAAUGUCACGUUUGUUAAGCAACCCCCAUGCUUUGAAAGAGGCACAGAAGGAAUUGGACAUCCAAGUUGGAAAGGAAAGAUCGGUGAAAGAAUCUGACAUAAGUCAGUUGGUAUAUCUUCAAGCAAUUGUGAAGGAGACACUAAGAUUGCACCCACCCGCAUCUCUUUCGGGACUCCGUGAAUUCACAGAGGACUGCACCGUGGGUGGCUUUCUUGUUAGGAAGGGAACGCGACUCAUUACCAAUUUGUGGAAGAUUCAAACAGAUCCCACCGUUUGGUCAGACCCCUUGGAGUUCAAGCCAGAGAGAUUUCUGACUACCCACAAAGCUGUUGAUGUGAGAGGGCAUCAUUUUGAGUUACUCCCAUUUGGAAGUGGCCGAAGAAUUUGUCCUGGAAUAUCCUUCGGCCUUCAGACCAUUCAUCUCACUUUGGCCACGUUCUUGCACUCCUUUGAAUUCUCAAAGCCAUCUGACGAGCCCAUUGACAUGAGUGAGGUUUUUGGACUCACUACCAUGAAAGCUACUCCUCUCGAGGCUUUCAUCCAACCUCGUCUUUCUUCCCAGCUUUACGAUGCUCUGUGAUCACUGCCACGGGGCUCACUCAAGGUGUCAAAUUGAGCAAGAAACGCAACGCAAGGGACUUGAAAUUUUAUGCUGCCUGAAAAAAUUUGACCAAGUCCAACGAGAUUUCGUGAAUUCGAAGCCAGAGCAUGUGAUCAUUGUACUACAUAGUCUCACUGAUGUGCCAAAAAUACUGUGUUCUCCGAGAAUUGUGCGUCCCGUGUUGAUUCAAGAAAUAAGAAAUGUAAGAAGUGUGCCGAAUCGCCAGAGAAACAGACGAAUAAAACCGACCAACAACACAUCCCCAGUAGCAGCAAUAUUAAAAAAAUCAGGGACUGACAGAAACCGGCCGUUCUCAUGGUUUCCAGUCACACCGACCGAUUUGUUAUCCCUAUAAGAAGAGGCAUCACCGAGUUCACUCCCACCUUUGAAGCGCAUCGAUCACUCUGCAGAAGCUGAAGUCCUGGGCACAUAUCUGAGAAAAAUAUGUCAGAGAAUUCAAAGGCCGUGAAGCUGCAGAACCUGGCGUUGAAGGAUGAAGAGGAGGAGGAGGAGGAGGAGGAGGAGGAGGAGGCGGUGGGGGUGACGAGGGAAUUGCAGAUAAAGGGAGGUGGGAAAAUGGAAAUGGACAAACAGCUCAUCCUGAAGCGUAUUCGUCAGAGGAAGAGGAUCAACAAGUUCACAGCCGCUCUCCAAUCCCUUGUCACCUCCCCUUUCUCCAAGUCUUCCCCACCCAAUCAUUCCUCCCUCCACGAUCCUUUCACUUUCUUCUAGUUCUAUUUCCCCUCUUUCCUUUUGUCUCCUCUCUUGUAUUCUAUUUACUCUUUCACUCAUCUCUGCUUAUUUGUUCAGUAUCCACGGCCGAGUCCUGAUAGCCGUAUUCUCUGUUAUAUAUAAAUAAUUAUUAUUAUUAUUAUAA